rnacentral:rRNA from 1 species
CCUACGGGCGGCUGCAGGCGCGGUAAUACGGAGGGUGCAAGCGUUACUCGGAAUCACUGGGCGUAAAGAGCGUGUAGGCGGGUAUACAAGUCAGAAGUGAAAUCCAAUAGCUUAACUAUUGAACUGCUUUUGAAACUGUAUACCUAGAAUGUGGGAGAGGUAGAUGGAAUUUCUGGUGUAGGGGUAAAAUCCGUAGAGAUCAGAAGGAAUACCGAUUGCGAAGGCGAUCUACUGGAACAUUAUUGACGCUGAGACGCGAAAGCGUGGGGAGCAAACAGGAUUAGAUACCCUUGUAGUC